rnacentral:rRNA from 1 species
GUGGGGAAUAUUGGGCAAUGGGCGAAAGCCUGACCCAGCAACGCCGCGUGAAGGAAGAAGGUUUUCGGAUCGUAAACUUCUAUCCUUGGUGAAGAUAAUGACGGUAGCCAAGAAGGAAGCCCCGGCUAACUACGUGCCAGCAGCCGCGGUAAUACGUAGGGGGCAAGCGUUGUCCGGAAUGAUUGGGCGUAAAGGGCGCGUAGGCGGCCCGGUAAGUCUGAAGUGAAAGUCCUGCUUUUAAGGUGGGAAUUGCUUUGGAUACUGUCGGGCUUGAGUGCAGGAGAGGUAAGCGGAAUUCCCGGUGUAGCGGUGAAAUGCGUAGAGAUCGGGAGGAACACCAGUGGCGAAGGCGGCUUACUGGACAGAGACUGACGCUGAGGCGCGAAAGCGUGGGGAGCGAACAGGAUUAGAUACCCUUGUAGUCC